AAUCAACGCUGGCGGCGUGCCUCAGACAUGCAAGUCGAACGAUUAAAGCUCUCUUCGGAGAGUGCAUAGAGUGGCGCACGGGUGAGUAACACGUAAGUAAUCUACCUUCGAGUGGGGAAUAACGUCCGGAAACGGGCGCUAAUACCGCAUAAUGCAGCGGCAUCGCAAGAUGACAGUUGUUAAAGGAGCAAUCCGCUUGAAGAGGAGCUUGCGGCAGAUUAGCUAGUUGGUAGGGUAAUGGCCCACCAAGGCUACGAUCUGUAACCGGUCUUAGAGGACGGUCGGUCACACUGACACUGAAUAACGGGUCAGACUCCUACGGGAGGCAGCAGUCGGGAAUUUUGGGCAAUGGGGGAAACCCUGACCCAGCAACGCCGCGUGAAGGAUGAAGUAUUUCGGUAUGUAAACUUCGAAAGAAUAGGAAGAAUUAAUGACGGUACUAUUUAUAAGGUCCGGCUAACUACGUG
rnacentral:rRNA from 1 species